rnacentral:rRNA from 1 species
ACGGAAGGCAGCAGCUAAGGAUAUUCCGCAAUGGACGAAAGUCUGACGGAGCGACGCCGCGUGGAUGAUGAAGGUCGAAAGAUUGUAAAAUCCUUUUAGGAGUGAAGACUAAGCGGUGCAGGGAAUGGCAUCACGGUGACGGUAGCUCCUGAAUAAGCAACGGCUAAUUACGUGCCAGCAGCCGCGGUAACACGUAAGUUGCGAGCGUUGUUCGGAAUUAUUGGGCGUAAAGGGUAUGUAGGCGGUCGUGCAAGCUUGGUGUGAAAUGCAGGGGCUCAACCCCUGGACUGCAUUUAGAACUGCAUGACUUGAAUUGCUGAAGGGCAGCCGGAAUUCCAGGUGUAGGGGUGAAAUCUGUAGAUAUCUGGAAGAACACCAAUGGCGAAGGCAGGCUGCUGGCAGAUGAUUGACGCUGAGUUACGAAAGUGCGGGGAGCAAACAGGAUUAGAUACCCUGGUA